GUCUCUCUACUACAAGAAACACUUCAUUUUAUUAGUUGCGCACUUUGGGUAGAAUCUUGUCUUUCUGAGGAAAUUUUGGAAAUUUUCAAAACUCUGGGCGCUUCAGCUUUUUCCAAACGAAAAAUAUGCUCUGACCACUUUCCUUCAGAAGCUUUUCGAGAUGUUCAUAACAAAAAUAAAGGGUUAAAACCUGGUGCCGUUCCGUCUUCUCGCGCAAAAAUCGUUUUCAAUGAUGGGUCCGAAAGUUUUCUGGCAAAUUCUCAAGAUGCUGCUAACGAGAACUUGGAGUCUAACGAAAUGACCGUAGAAUUCAUCGAUGGAGACGAUGAUUUUGCCAAAUGGUUUCAGCUAACUUCCACUGAAACGUGUCCUGAAAAUGAUCAUCCGAACAACUCAACUACGAACGACGACACACAAAAUUCAAACGCCGUAGAAUUGGCCAUGGCCGCAGAUUGUUCCCUACCUCCGGCUGUGAGCGAUAUUGAGACUGAGUGUCUUCUACAACAACCAGCUAUUGAUAAUCCGGAGAAUAUUUUGCAAACCAGCUCGGAAGUUAGUGAACAGCAGAAACAUAUCGAUGGAGUCGAAGAAUUCGAGGUUAUUAUUCUAUCCCAAGAUAGUAUCGAGAGCCAUUCUCAAGUAGAUAAGACAAUCGAAUUCCGUCAAAGGAUCAGAGAAAAGGAAGCUACAAUAAAAGCGCUCAGAAGAAAAAUUAACUUUCUUCGGCGGCAAAUGUUUGUGCAAGACCAAACCAGCAAACGUCGUUUGAUGGCAAACAACAAACACAAAAAGCUGAUCUUCAAUCUACGUAAAGAGCUGAGACUCUUAAAAAAAAACCAAGACGGAAAACGAAGUACUCGGAGAACAAGCUAAGCAAAACCCAAUUAUUUAUGACACCUUGAAGAAUGCCACCAGAUCGACCAAAGGACGAUAUCAUUCGGAUACUAAAAAAUUCGCCUCUGCAACAUAUUUGAGCGGUCCACGUACAUAUCGAUUCGUACGGAAAUCAACACACCUCGUACUACCCCACAAAAGUACUGUUUAUGGGUAUAACAGGAACAUUCGAAUCAACCCAGGACUGAAUAAAACUA